CAGAGAGCCUCUCUUGGGCCUCUUCAGGUCAGGGGGCUGUGACACACCCAAGCACAGGUCACUGCAAAACCUCUUGGGCAGACUCGCUGUCAAGGUGCUGGGCAUCGCCAGGUUUUCUGGUCAACCCCACUCAUGCAGGCACAUUUAACAUCACUCAUGACCAGGAAUCCAUUAUGUAGAAAAGCUUAACCUGGGGCACUUGGCAGUGAAUUCCUCUUACCAUCCCCAAAUAUGAGCCUGCAGAGCAUUUGGGAACCCUUGGGUCUUCCUUCUCUCAGUCACUGAGUGGUCACUAGGAUUCUCCCUCCCCAGGCAAUCAAGCCCUCAAUCCCUCCCCAUAGAUGUUUGAUGGGAAAGCCUUCUUUUUCUCUCAUCUCUAUCUUUCCUGAGGCUCCAUCUGAUGGCAGAAUUUGAGCGUGUGUAUAUGCAUUUUUAAAAUCAAGUUACUAAGAUUAUACUUUGCAUACAAUAAAGUGUACCCAUUUUAAGUAUAUAAUUUGAUGAGUUUUGAGAAAUGUGUAUACACAUGUAACCACUACCACUAUCUUUUUAUAGGCUCUUUGUAUCACCCACAAAGAGUCCCGGGUGUGCCUUCCUAGUCUAUCCCAACCCCACCCUCGACCAUCCCCAGGCAUCCAUUGAUCUGCUUUCCAUCACUAGAGAUGAGAUCAGUAUUAGAAAAGAGAUUAGGUCAUUAUCUUUUGAAGAGAAAUUAUUUCCUGCUGCUAGCCAGCUCUCAUCAGAGCAAUAUAAAGUAAACUGUAUUUUGGGUUUUGUUUUUACAAAAGAAAUAGAAAAAUGCCCAACUGUGAGAAUCAUUUCUUCCACUUCCCACCUUGAAGCGAUGAGACUUGCAGGGCAAAAUUCUACUCAAUGUGAGUUGGGUUUGCUCUACCAAUUCCAUCUGUAAUAAUAUCUGCUGAAGAGAAAUGCUUUCUUUUAAAAUAACAAGAAGAAAACCUCUUAAUCCUUUCAAAGAAAACAGCAACAACAGAAAAGCCCAUAGAAAGUAAGUCCCUUCAUCUAACUUUGAAUCAGCAAACAUUGUACUUGAGUGGAUCCACCCACUCCUGCCAAGCCUCUCUCACAUCCCAGCUUCUGCCUCCCAGCUCCACCCAGUGAACAGUUCUAGAAGCUUAGGGAGCUUGAGUGUGUAUACUAGAAAAAAACCACAGGAAUAAAAAGUGCCUAUACUGAUAAAGGUAUGUUUAGUCCAUAAACAACAGGACAACUCAGAAACAUGCCUACACCAGAGAAACAGCUUACAGUUUGCAUUCAAGAUCAAGAAUGCUUAUACAUUGGUAUUUCACUGACCUCAUGACUGCGAUCUGCUUCUCUGCUCUUCUGAAAAGCCGGGAUCCAAGCCGAUUUGCUCUUCGGAAAUCUUUCCAGUCUGGCUCAAGAUUCUAACACUUCCAUGCUUCUGGUCUUAGUGGAAGCAGAUUGUGCAAGUCAGUUGACCAGAGGUGGGACGAAAGAUGAAAGUGGAGCGUGACUCAAGGUUGGCUGCCCCAGGGACUGUGUUUGAGCCCUAUGGAAAAAGGGGCUACUAGCAGAGGCUGAUGAAUCUUUCACUGAGGACUCUGAGGCUGAGGAGUAAUUAGUAGUACUUGGAACACAGACAGGAAUGAGAGAAAUGUUCCUCCCGCCUUCAUGGGCACUGAGACACUUGAGAACAUUUUUGGCAGGGAUAUCAGUACUCUGAAGGUGGCAGUCAAAUACAGAGAAUGAUGAGAUGUGUUGAAGCAGUUUUGAGGACAGAGGACAUUGAUGGGUGUGGGUGCUGGAGCAAUACCCAUAGCAGAUGUGAUUAGAUGAUUCUGACGGACUUGUUCAUCAACACCGAGGAGACACCUACUGGGGGCUUGUUAUCUACCUGGGUGAGGAUAUGAGGGGAGUCAAACGUCCUGCACUGGGAGGUGUGGUUAAGAGCCAGGGAAUUCAAGUCAUUCCAAUUGAUGUGGCUCAUUUCUUAUCCCUGAUAAUGAGAUUUCAGGAAACAUGAGCUACGCUCAUAAUUUUCCUUAUUGUUUUUCAGUCAUUUCUGUUAGCUUUAAGUCUUCAAUUAAAUAUCAAGUAUAAUAUGUCA